ensembl:ncRNA C05G5.8 ncRNA
AAGGGCGCCGGCGGCACACGGAGCAACUUGGUGGCUCGCGGUUCGCUGCGUCUCUUCGUCUCCGUAUGCUCCAUUGUUGCGAACCGCGGGCCCGGGCGGCAGUACCGGGCGCCGUCGUCCUCCAUGGUAUCAGGCAAA